rnacentral:rRNA from 1 species
CGAACGCUGGCGGCGCGUUUUAAGCAUGCAAGUCGAACGGUAGUAGGGUGCUUGCACCCUAUGAGAGUGGCGAACGGGUGAGUAACACGUAGGUGAUCUGCCCUUGAGUUGGGGAUAGCCCAUGGAAACAUGGGGUAAUACCGAAUACGGUCCGGGAACUGUAGUACCCGGAAGAAAAGCGCUUCGGCGCUGCUCGAGGAUGAGCCUGCGGCUGAUUAGCUAGUUGGUGAGGUAAUGGCUCACCAAGGCGACGAUCAGUAGCCGGCCUGAGAGGGUGAACGGCCACACUGGGACUGAGAUACGGCCCAGACUCCUACGGGAGGCAGCAGCUAAGAAUCUUCCGCAAUGGACGAAAGUCUGACGGAGCGACGCCGCGUGGGUGAUGAAGGCCGGAAGGUUGUAAAGCCCUUUUCUGAUUGAGGAAUAAGCACAGGAGGCAAUGCCUGUGUGAUGACGGUAGGUCAGGAAUAAGCCCCGGCCAAUUAC